UUUUUUUUUUUUUUUUUUUUUUUUUUUCCCAUGAUU
rnacentral:ribozyme from 1 species